GGAGGUUGUGGUCCAAUUGGUAAAGAUCCCGCCCUGGACCGGCGAGGGAUGCGAGUUCAAGUCUCGCCUACUCCA
rnacentral:tRNA from 1 species